GAUGAAGAACGUAGCGAAAUGCGAUAAGUAAUGUGAAUUGCAGAAUUCAGUGAAUCAUCGAAUCUUUGAACGCACAUUGCGCCCUCUGGUAUUCCGGGGGGCAUGCCUGUUCGAGCAUCAUUAUAACCACUCAAGCUCUCGCUUGGUAUUGGGGUUCGCGGUUCCGCGGCCCCUAAAAUCAGUGGCGGUGCCUGUCGGCUCUACGCGUAGUAAUACUCCUCGCGAUUGAGUCCGGUAGGUCUACUUGCCAGCAACCCCCAAUUUUUACAGGUUGACCUCGGAUCAGGUAGGGAUACCCGCUGAACUUAAGCAUAUCAAUAAGCGGAGGA
rnacentral:misc_RNA from 1 species